ACGCCCGUGGCUCAAUGGUAGAGCAUCGGACUCCAAAUCCGAGGGUUGGGGGUUCAAGUCCCUCCGGGCGUG
rnacentral:tRNA from 1 species